UAUUUUGUAGAUGGAUACACA
rnacentral:piRNA from 1 species